CACUGUCAACUUUGCACCUCAGCUCAUAAUUAUGCUGAGAAAGAGGACGCAGAGCGUGUGAUGAUCUCCAACGCGAGAGCGCUAGGGAGCACGCGCGAAGAAAGAAUGGCUCGACGACAACACCAGCUGGACUUACUGGAAGCUAGGAAUCCUGCACAAGGUCCCUCUUAUGGCCCUGGAAUCGAUGAUACCAUAUAAUCCAAACCGACAAAAUCGUGCUCACCGCCGAGCGCCUUUUUUUGGAGGUCGUUCAGGACAUCAUCUGCAGAGGCGGUGCACAUCAAUAUUUUGACACGAGUAAUACAAAAUUAUAUUCUUCAAAGUGUGCUCUUUCAGAAUUACUAUUACUUGUACUUAGUAAAUAAAAGCUGUGUCCACA